CGAGUAGAGUCGGGGACUCUGGAUGGACUGCCAGCGACAAGCUGGAGGAAGGUGGGGACGACGUCAAGUCAUCAUGGCCCUUAUGCCUAGGGCGACACACGUGCUACAAUGGCCGAUACAGCGGGAAGCAAGCCUGCGAAGGCAAGCAGAUCCCACAAAGUCGGUCUCAGUUCGGAUUGUAGUCUGCAACUCGACUACAUGAAGGAGGAAUCGCUAGUAAUCGCGGAUCAGCCAAGCCGCGGUGAAUCCGUUCCCGGGCCUUGUACACACCGCCCGUGGGGCGGG
rnacentral:rRNA from 1 species